rnacentral:rRNA from 1 species
GACGUAGGGAGCGAGCGUUGUCCGGAUUUACUGGGCGUAAAGAGCUCGUAGGCGGGACCGUAAGUCCGAGAGGAAAUCUCAAGGCUCAACUUUGGGGCUUUCUUGGAUACUGCGGUUCUUGAGGAUGAGAGAGGUAAGUAGAAUUCCCGGUGUAGCGGUGAAAUGCGUAGAUAUCGGGAGGAAUACCAGUGGCGAAGGCGGCUUACUGGCUCAUUCCUGACGCUGAGGAGCGAAAGCGUGGGGAGCAAACGGG